CUUCAUGUAAUUCCUAGAAUUUAUUUUACUUUACUAUCAAUUAUAAAACUCCAAACAUCAAACAUCACAUUCACAUUCGCCCCUAAACACCAAUCAUCGUUUUGUACAUUCCUAUGUCAUACUAUUAUAAACGUCAAUGCUUCCAUUCCAUAUGAAUAUUCACAUAAUUAUUAAUAAAACAAAAAUUCUUUUCUUUAUGAUCUGGAAUAUUUGCACGUUUCAAGACAAAUAAGUAAAACCAUGACAAUCGAAGUUCCCAAAAAUUCAAUGCAAUUGGAAUUAAAGAAGCUUAAAUCAUUUUUUGACUAUGCAAUAUACAAACAAUGAUAGCCUGCUGGUGACACUAUACGCGUUUACAACUACUCUUCUUAACUUCUAAGUUAGGCGGUUGAAAAGUCUGGCUACUCUAAAUUGGAAUGAAUUAUUCAUAUAACCUAGCCCUGUAUGACCGGAUAAAACUGAACAAUUCAACAAAAAAGAAGGAGAUUGUUGAAUCAAAACAUUUCGAAAUAAUAUUAAUGAGCGAAUGUCAAUAAAACGCCAAAAUGAGCACAUGCGAAGAAAUAUGAUCGAAUCGCUUAACGGAUUACAGCUCUUUGUAAAUCGUUCGUUACCGUUAUUUCGAAAACCAAACACACCGUUACACCGUUCUACAACCGUUCAGCCCGACUGUUG
rnacentral:sRNA from 1 species